ACGAACGCUGGCGGCAUGCCUAACACAUGCAAGUCGAACGAAGCCCUCGGGCUUAGUGGCGCACGGGUGCGUAACGCGUGGGAAUCUGCCCCUCGGUUCGGAAUAACAGUUAGAAAUGACUGCUAAUACCGGAUGAUGACGAAAGUCCAAAGAUUUAUCGCCGAGGGAUGAGCCCGCGUAGGAUUAGCUUGUUGGUGGGGUAAUGGCCCACCAAGGCGACGAUCCUUAGCUGGUCUGAGAGGAUGAUCAGCCACACUGGGACUGAGACACGGCCCAGACUCCUACGGGAGGCAGCAGUGGGGAAUAUUGGACAAUGGGCGAAAGCCUGAUCCAGCAAUGCCGCGUGAGUGAUGAAGGCCUUAGGGUUGUAAAGCUCUUUUACCCGGGAUGAUAAUGACAGUACCGGGAGAAUAAGCUCCGGCUAACUCCGU
rnacentral:rRNA from 1 species